ACAAAUCAAUUUUUAUCCAAUUACUUUUAGCUUGAAUAGUUUUUAAAAACACACAUUAAAUAUAUGGACAUUUGAUCUUGCAUUUGAUGCCAUAGUCAACCACUCAAAAGCUCACAGGCUCCUUCUUCAGUCUUUGAAAGCUUUAUUCCUGCAGUCUCCUCUUUCCAAGCUCUUUGGUUUCUCACACUGCUCGCUCUUCACUGCCCUGUGAGUGAGUGCCUCCAACCCCCUUGAUUUCCAGAUCAUCUCCACCUGGUGCAUUCAAAUCUCCGACUCCAGCCUGGGAGACGCACCUAAACCUGCCUCUCAGCCAGAGAGGGGCUCGGUCUGCAACUCAACUCAACAGUGAUGAAGAUUUGUUAAACGUUUGAAUUCAUACUAAAUCAGGUCCUUCCACAAAACAACCAAACAACUUUUAAAAUGUUCGUUCCUUAGAGUUUAGGGCAAUAGUGGAUUUAUACAAGUGGUGUGUACCCAAAAUAACUAAUUCCGCCUUUAUUUACUUGUGAAAUGGGUCUAAAGUAAGCCGAAACAGCAACAUCAUGAUACAGAUUAAAAAUAUAAAAGUAUCAGGUCUGUCUGUAAAAUGACAAAGCAAACAACUUUUAAUAAUGCUUGUUUUUCUGAAUAAAGUUCUAAAAAAGUUGCCAGGGCAUCAUGUUGCAAACAGAAUAUUUUGAUUUUUCUUUUUCCUGCAUAUGAUGAACCAUAUGUUAUCUCCUUGCAGGAGAUUGAACAGUUUUGUUCUUUUCCCUAGCUGCAGUUUCAGGAUGUUGCUGAAGGUAAAAUGCAAUACUAUCAAGAAGUACAUCAAAUUGCCCUCACCUUUUCAGAAUUCAUCAGGGAAGGUAAAUCAUUUGCAGGCAAAAUGAAAUAUGUAGCCAAUUUAACAACAAAUCACAGCACAAUAUGAUCUGUGGCAGAAUUAUUUAAAUACUUUUGUAUAUAACAGUUUAUAUUACAUUAAUAACAGUUCGUAGUGAAAUCAACAUUAGUUAGAACAUGGUUGUACAUGAUUUUUAGUUUAACAGUUAAGCAGGAUGAUUUCAAAUUUGCCCCAGGUGACUUAAUCUGCUUACAUUCCCUCCUUUUUACAGUCAAAAACAAGUUUGGGCUUCCUGAUGUAGCUCUACUUGACAUUUAUGAUACUGACACAGCAGUAGAGGAAGACAUUCUUCUAGAGCUGUUGGAGGCCAAUCCAGACAUGUGCCUGACAGUAUGUGACAGCAUUUCCAAUGAAGACUUUUCUCCUCUAGAUCAUUCAACACCAUCUUCCCUCACGGACACCAUAUCACUUACUUCAAGUGACAGUGACCUUAGAGAACUGGGUAUGACCACAGGCAGAAAUAGAUCCAGCAAAGACGACAUGAGCAGUUCUGCAACAAAGGCUUCCGUGUCAGAGGUAAUUGAGAGCUGGAAACGUCUUAUUUUGAUUUACUAUCAAUUAUAAGGUGUCACGUUUAAGCAUUUGGUUCCAAACUCACUUUAUCAAAGAAAAUGUUAUUAAUUUGCUCCCUUCGUAAAUGUUUACCUUUCACAACACUGUUUUUUGUCAUUCCUCUGAACUUUCACCCGUAGUCUAUAUAGACAUAUUGUGGUAUGUUUUUUCUAAUAGACUGAAUUGAACACUGAAACUUAUUUUCCCUUUUCCUGUAAUGCGAGUAGAUCGUAGAGAAUGCAAAACAUUUAAAUGUAACAGGAGGAUUUCUAUGAUGGGAAAGAGGAACUGGAUAUUUAGCGUGGCGCCUCAAAACCGUUUCCAGGACUUCAGCAAAACGGCCAGUCAAAGAAAUCUCAGUGAAUCAAGCACAAGGACCAAAGCGGCAAAGAUCAGCAACCACACUGCCUCAGCAGCUUGAUGGAGAUGCCGGCAGGGAGGCCAUUUCAUUUCUUGUUCACUCCCCUGAUGAAGCAAGUGUAUUUCAGAAGAUGACGUUUCAACAUCGUCAGGACCUAGUGCAUGACCCACAAAGAAGCACAGAUGUCUUCAAAACAUUUCCACGCUUUUUAGAUGUCAAAAGGACUUUCAUGCUGCUCCAUCAAUGAACAUCUGCAGGAAAGGGAGAGUAAACAACCAUACAUCCUUGCCAUUGGCCGAACCCAGAAGGCGAUUGAUAUCUUCUACAUCGCCGUUGACAAACAGCUCAUCCUCUGCCAAGCCACCAGCUCGUUGGGUGCUUUUGAUGAACUGUUUAAAUCCCACUACAUGUUCAACUUGUCUUAUGAUGAGUCCCCGGUCCAUUUCUACACUUUUCUGCAGACAACGGUCCACAACAUGGAUGUUACCACAACAGAUGAGUCUAAGAGUUUGUGAGUUGCGGGCAAAACUUUUGAAUAUGUUUAAAUGUUUUGUAUGUCAAGCAGUGCAUGCUACCAGUCAGUGCCUAAUAACUCAUUUGCGAAUCUGCCACAGUUUCUAUCCAAGCACUAGGUUUAAGUUAGUUUGUGCACAAGAUCAUUGCAUGCGCCAGUUUCCAACAUUUUCAGAUUUUAAAAAGCAUUUAAUUAGUGUGCAUGAUAAGGAUUGUCAAAGUGGUGAUGCAAAAACCUCAGAGUCAUUUCAGGCGGAUUUUCACAGUUUACAAAAUGGUACAGAAGUUGCAGGAACAAGUGUCGUGCAGAGCCCUGACACUGGGUAUUUUGAUAAUGGAUCAGGUCAAAGUAUCAAAGAAGAUAGAUAGACAGAAGAUAUGUGCUACAAUUAUUGCCAAACUCCAUGGUAGUGGAAUGGCAAAAAGUGUAGUUUCGUCAAUUAUCCGUGAUUUGGAAGAAUUUGCUGGUGGUCUGCACUCCCAAGUUAAGCAUGAAAUACUGUCUGCCGUGCCAAAAGAUAACCCUGUAAGAUCUACAUUGGAAAAGGGUUUUGACAAUUUAGAAAACCCAUUUGUGCGUUUUAAUACUGAAACUAAAGAAUAAAGUAUUUCAACAAAAAAAAAAAAAAAAGGGAAUUGUGGAGCUGCUGGAAAAAAAUGUAGGAGUUUGAUUUGAUACAAGACUAAAUAAAAAAAACAGGUACUUAUGAUCAGGUCCCAGUGAAAGACACUUGUGUUUACAUUCCAAUUUUGGAAACUAUUCAAUUUAUCUGUCGCAAUUCUUAUAUUUGUGAACUACUACUAACCAUGUGUAUUAAGACAGAUAUGAAGACUUUUGUGAUGGAAGUUAUUUUAAGUCACAUCAUUGUUCUCAAAAACAGUUCUUUACUAAUUCAGCUUUACUAUGAUGACUUUGAGACUGCUAACCCACUUGGUUCAAAACGUGUUUAAAGUUGGUGUUCUCUUUUGUCCUCCGAAAUCUGCCUCCAAAGUUAAACUUUGGUGAUGAACAUUCAUUUGGUGGCAUUGUUUCACACAGAUGUGAAAAAAUGCCUUUGAUCCCAUUUUACAGUCUAAUUGAUGACAAAAUAUUGGAGAGUGAUGGCAUUGAUUUGCCUUUCUCAUCUGAAAAGGUCUAUGGCACUAUAUGGCAGAUAACUGGGGACAACUAGGGGAUGCAUGGAAUAAUGGGUUUUACAGAGUCUUUCAGUGGACGUCACUUCUGUCGUUUGUGUUUGAUUGAAAAAGAGGAUGCUCAGAAUGUUUACAAAGAGGAUGACCCAAAGAUAAUCUUGCGUGGAAAAGACAUUUUUGAAAUGCACUGCAGUGAGUUGCAAUCAGAUCCACAAAAGAUGUAUGUGUUUGGUCUAAAGAAGAAUUCAACUCUUAACAGCCUACAGUACUUUCAUGUUUGCUACAACUUUUCUUUGGACAUAAUGCAUGACAUACUUGAAGGGGUGGCUCAGUAUGAGAUAAAGUUACUGUUUGAAUAUCUCUCAGAAAAUGUGUUGUCAAAACCUGGGCCCGUAUCCCUAAAGAAAUUUUGUGCAAAAAGUAGCUCCUAGUGGCCAAAUUCGAAGAAAAUUCUCAGUCAUGAUGUUCUCUUAGAAUUUCCCCUAAAAGUGACACGAAAAUCCCAAUUAAUAUAAAAGCUAUUCCUCAAGAUUCCUAGGGCUUAAAAGGACUCCUAAGGAGAGAUCUGCUAAGAGCAGGGAAGAGGACUUUUAGUGGCUUAGGAGUUCCCCUAAGCAGCUGCACAAAAUGGCCAACAGAGGAGGCAGGAGAGAUGUCCUGCAAACACUGGAUGACAGGGAAUUAUUGAGACGCUACAGAUUGGAUCGUGCAGGAAUCAUGUUUGUGGUGGAUCUCCUUAGAGAUGCAAUUACUUCACCAACUCGACGCCACAACGCUAUUACACCGGAGAAGAAAG